GACGAACGCUGGCGGCGUGCUUAACACAUGCAAGUCGAACGGAAAGGCCCUGCUUUUGUGGGGUGCUCGAGUGGCGAACGGGUGAGUAACACGUGAGUAACCUGCCCUUGACUUUGGGAUAACUUCAGGAAACUGGGGCUAAUACCGGAUAGGAGCUCCUGCUGCAUGGUGGGGGUUGGAAAGUUUCGGCGGUUGGGGAUGGACUCGCGGCUUAUCAGCUUGUUGGUGGGGUAGUGGCUUACCGAGGCUUUGACGGGUAGCCGGCCUGAGAGGGUGACCGGCCACAUUGGGACUGAGAUACGGCCCAGACUCCUACGGGAGGCAGCGGUGGGGAAUAUUGCACAAUGGGCGGAAGCCUGAUGCAGCAACGCCGCGUGCGGGAUGACGGCCUUCGGGUUGUAAACCGCUUUCGCCUGUGACGAAGCGUGAGUGACGGUAAUGGGUAAAGAAGCACCGGCUAACUACGUG
rnacentral:rRNA from 1 species